rnacentral:rRNA from 1 species
CAGCCGCCGCGGGAAAACGUAGGGUGCAAGCGUUAAUCGGAAUUACUGGGCGUAAAGCGUGCGCAGGCGGUUUGUUAAGACAGAUGUGAAAUCCCCGGGCUCAACCUGGGAACUGCAUUUGUGACUGGCAAGCUAGAGUCUGGCAGAGGGGGGUGGAAUUCCGCGUGUAGCAGUGAAAUGCGUAGAUAUGCGGAGGAACACCGAUGGCGAAGGCAGCCCCCUGGGCCAACACUGACGCUCAUGCACGAAAGCGUGGGGAGCAAACAGGAUUAGAUACCCGUGUAGUCCCUGUCUCUUAUAC